rnacentral:rRNA from 1 species
CCUACGGGAGACAGCAGUGGGGAAUAUUGGACAAUGGGGGGAACCCUGAUCCAGCGACGCCGCGUGAGUGAAGAAGUAUUUCGGUAUGUAAAGCUCUAUCAGCAGGGAAGAAAGAAAUGACGGUACCUGACUAAGAAGCCCCGGCUAACUAUGUGACAGCAGCCGCGGUAAUACGUAGGGGGCAAGCGUUAGCCGGAUUUACUGGGUGUAAGGGGAGCGUAGACGGCGAUGCAAGUCAGAAGUGAAAGGGGGGGGGACAACCCCCGGACUGCUUUGGAAACUGUAUGGCUGGAGUGCAGGAGAGGUAAGUGGAAUUCCUAGUGUAGCGGUGAAAUGCGUAGAUAUUAGGAGGAACACCAGUGGCGAAGGCGGCUUACUAGACUGUAACUGACGUUGAGGCUCGAAAGCGUGGGGAGCAAACAGGAUUAGAUACCCUUGUAGUC